UGGCCCAUUUAAGUCAACAAUCCCCCCUCCAGCACUUGCACACAUUUGCAGCAUGCAGGAAUCGAACUCGUGACCUCUGGCUCUGAUACCACUUGUCGGAUCGUUGGCGCUAACCAUUAAUCCCAAAAGCUCGAGCUGUUAAAAAUACGCAACCAAUUCACUUAAAGCGUACAAAAACAGCGCCCACGGGUCUCGAUUAUGACUCGGCCCACCUGGCCUCACGCCACUUCGAACAUGACUCGGCCCAACCCAGCCUCACGCCAUUUCGAACAUAACUCAGCCCACAUGGCCUCCCGCCACAGGGCAAGAUGCUAGCCCAUUUAAGCCAACACUUCUCGUAUUUUUCAGUUUUCUCAU
rnacentral:lncRNA from 1 species